AAAGAAGAGGGCAAAAUUAUCAUUGCUAAUUAGAUAUUAUACUCUUUAUUAUUAAGUUUAUUGUUUCUUUGUUACUAUAAACGCAAAUAGCAUUCAGUAUCAUCGAUCUUCCAUGUGACCUCUGGCCUGGAUUUAAAAUUUUUACCGGUAUUUUCGAGUGCAUGGCGGCACGGAUUCAUUCGUUCGUACACUUAGGCUUGUUGCUUCUUUGUUGCUAAAGCUAGUUUAUUACGCUUUGAUGUCUCACAUUAUUUAACUUGGGGUGAAGUGACAUAUUUGCAAGCAGAUAUGUAAGCCUGAAAGCUAGGUUUCGGUCGUGAGCCAUACGGAACGCGUCUGCAUUGGAACGGGAGCUGGAUUCUGCUGCGGCUGACAACGGCAGUAACGGUGAGUCGUUUAACACUGCUGCUUGAAUUGUUAUAUAAUAUUCGUCUCAUUAACUUACAGGCAGAGACAAGUUAACAAACUAGAUCCUGCAUUACAUAUGGGCAGUCAGGACCCUCCGUUGCUGUUUCCUUAAUAAACCUUUAGUUGCGAAGCCGUCGUGAUACACACAAUCAUGAAGGAAAGAGAGAGCGAUAUUGGGACGCGCGUCACAUAUUUAAUCUUAUUGUAGCCGUGGCCAUAGGUGACUGAGUAGCCUUAUGAAUAUAUAUAUAAAAAUUUUUUUCGAAUCUGCCGGCAACUUCUUUCGUCCACAAAAUCUAUAAUCCUUUGGUAAAAUGAAGUGAAAGUGCAGAAUUUAAUGUAUUAAACAGUUGCAAGCGUGCUAAUUCACCCAUAUUUCUAACUUGUUGGUUCCAUAUGUUCUUGCUGUCCAGUUUGGUUUACCAUAGGGCAUUCAUUUUUGCAGUAGUGAAGUGGUGCAUAACGUUCGUGUAGAAAAAGAAUGCAUCAGUUCUAAUAGCUUCAUGACUUUUAUGCAUUUGCUUAUGGAACUAGCAGCGUGAUCUCUUCUAGUGUGUAAAUGAGCGCACAAACGUUCUCAUUUGUGAUCUUAAUAAUACUUAAGCUGUUGACAUGCAUUGUAGUGAGGCAGACAUCAAUUUUAUGGACAGUAGCAAUAUUUAUUUAACAUGCUGCUUAAGCACCCUAGAACAAACAGUGUACAUUUGCAUGUUUUCUGUAGUUGCAAACCAUUACAAUAUAUAUGUCACACCUUUUUGCAUUUCAUAUUGCAAAAUUCUGCUUUUUCAAUUUCUGAUGCAGUCAAAAUUUCUGUUCCAGACAUGCAGUAAUGAGGACGGAACCAGUGUAAAGCAACUCACUCCAUGAACUAAAGAGAAGCUGCUGCCUGCUAAACAAGGCCAUUGUGUGAACUUUGGCUGCUACUCCAAGGAGCUCCCAUCUACACCAACAGGAAGGGGCUGGAGCCGAAUUUGCAAGGCUUUUACACCACGAACAUAGAAGCGGAUACAGAAGAAUCUGGAUGAGAUAUCAAGUCUGUGGAGGAUUGUGUCAAGACUGAAAAGAGCUUCAGCCACCAUUCCACCAGCACGGACAUUGGCCAAGUCUUCCAGGAGGACGUGUAUUUAAUUUAAAGGGGAGCAUUAAGGAUGCUUUUGAAAUAUCACGGAGAGCAGCACAUGAAAAGCCUGGCACGAGCGAAGAUACCUCUCCAGGACAGCAGGCCCAAAAUCUACUACAGCCCCUACUGCUCCCCCGGGAAAAUCAGUGAUGUGAUAUUGAAGGUAGAGCGCCGUAAGCUGUGAGAAAGGUAUAAUCCGGCAUGACUGACUCAGCACUAGCGCCACAAGUACGAGAAAGUUUAUUCGACGUACACCC
rnacentral:lncRNA from 1 species